rnacentral:lncRNA from 1 species
AUGGCUGUGGCUGUGAAUGCACUCAGGGAAGGAGAGGGCGCUGGUCGUGCUUGCCCUGCUUCCCAGCAAAUGAACCCCAGGAGAAGCGGGGCCGUGCCCGCUGCCCUGGCAGUGCCUUCCGCAGCCGUGGCAGCAGAAAUGCUGCUGUGCACAAAGGGAGAGAAAUUGUUUUUAUUGAGGAAACAGCAGAGAACAAAAAGCUUCCCCCAAAGCCAAACUGCUCCUAUUCUGAGUUCUCAAGACCAGAAGAGAUCUCUCUGUGAAGACAAGAGGCUUAUUUUCAAUUUUUCAGUCCAUUUUGCUGAAAGCAAAGUCCCUUCAGAAACUUUCUGCCCUGCAGAAACCCACACUUCUGUCAUCUCAAGAAGAUGGUUUUGCAUAUGCUGUUAAGAAUCCUCGAGACACUUCUGCAAGCA